UACGUAGGGUGCAAGCGUUGUCCGGAAUUAUUGGGCGUAAAGAGCUCGUAGGCGGUUUGUCGCGUCGGCUGUGAAAACCUGGGGCUCAACCCCGGGCCUGCAGCCGAUACGGGCAGACUAGAAUUCGGUAGGGGAGUCCGGAAUUCCUGGUGUAGCGGUGAAAUGCGCAGAUAUCAGGAGGAACACCGGUGGCGAAGGCGGGACUCUGGGCCGAUAUUGACGCUGAGGAGCGAAAGCGUGGGGAGCGAACAGG
rnacentral:rRNA from 1 species